UUGAACGCUGGCGGCAGGCCUAACACAUGCAAGUCGAGCGGAUGAAGGGAGCUUGCUCCUGGAUUCAGCGGCGGACGGGUGAGUAAUGCCUAGGAAUCUGCCUGGUAGUGGGGGAUAACGUCCGGAAACGGGCGCUAAUACCGCAUACGUCCUGAGGGAGAAAGUGGGGGAUCUUCGGACCUCACGCUAUCAGAUGAGCCUAGGUCGGAUUAGCUAGUUGGUGGGGUAAAGGCCUACCAAGGCGACGAUCCGUAACUGGUCUGAGAGGAUGAUCAGUCACACUGGAACUGAGACACGGUCCAGACUCCUACGGGAGGCAGCAGUGGGGAAUAUUGGACAAUGGGCGAAAGCCUGAUCCAGCCAUGCCGCGUGUGUGAAGAAGGUCUUCGGAUUGUAAAGCACUUUAAGUUGGGAGGAAGGGCAGUAAGUUAAUACCUUGCGGUUUUGACGUUACCAACAGAAUAAGCACCGGCUAACUUCGUG
rnacentral:rRNA from 1 species